rnacentral:rRNA from 1 species
UACGUAGGGUGCAAGCGUUGUCCGGAAUUAUUGGGCGUAAAGAGCUCGUAGGCGGUCUGUCGCGUCUGCUGUGAAAUCUCAGGGCUUAACUCUGAGCUUGCAGUGGGUACGGGCAGACUAGAGUGCGGUAGGGGAGACUGGAAUUCCUGGUGUAGCGGUGAAAUGCGCAGAUAUCAGGAGGAACACCGGUGGCGAAGGCGGGUCUCUGGGCCGUAACUGACGCUGAGGAGCGAAAGCAUGGGGAGCGAACAGG